rnacentral:hammerhead_ribozyme from 1 species
GCACUACUGCCGAGUCCCAAACAGGACGAAACAGAUGUCCAGUGC